rnacentral:rRNA from 1 species
UACGUAGGGCGCAAGCGUUGUCCGGAAUUAUUGGGCGUAAAGAGCGCGUAGGCGGCCUGUUGCGUCCGCUGUGAAAUCCCGGGGCUCAACCCCGGGCCUGCAGUGGAUACGGGCUGGCUAGAGGCAGGCAGGGGAGAACGGAAUUCCUGGUGUAGCGGUGAAAUGCGCAGAUAUCAGGAGGAACACCGGUGGCGAAGGCGGUUCUCUGGGCCUGUACUGACGCUGAGGAGCGAAAGCGUGGGGAGCGAACAGG